GCAGCUCCAUAAGCUCCAGGGGCUGAUAAGUCAUCCACUCUCUGUCUCCGAGGACACCGUGCGUAUGGGAAACCCAGGGAGGCCUGGGCCCAGGCCGUUGGCAGAGCCUGUGUCUUCCCGGUGCCUGCUGGUUACAGCCAGUCCUGAUCAGGAUUCCUUUCCCCUUUUGAGAUGACUUCCCUACUAAACAGCCCAGACACACUUUCUGGGGCAGAUGGCUGGUGAGUGAAACAGCACUCACAAGCCAGCGACGUGCAUGGGAGCUGUUUUGAACAAAGGGUGGUGGAUGGCUGGGCUUCCUCCCAGAAGGCUCUUAUCAGGUGCAUUUAACUACCUGGGAGCAGAAGCAGAAAGAAGAAAGGAGCCUGAAAGGUGAAAUUAUAUGGAGGAAAAAAAUGGUGAAAUAAAAGGGGUUUUAAAAUAGAGCUGGAAGGCAGGGAGGCUGGUCGGAGGUGGACCUUAUGUAUGUCCUCCCUGGGGGGAAUAUAAACUCUUGAACUGGGCCAAACCACAAAUAUUCCGAGGGCUCUGCACGAACAUCUAUCUGCAUCUUGCUACAUCCUUGCCAGGAACAGACUUUUGCUUAGUGACAGCCUUAGCAACCACUUGUGCUCAGCCAAGAUCACUUUUCUCCACCAAUACCAAUCAAGUAUACAA